rnacentral:rRNA from 1 species
GGCAGCAGCUAAGAAUAUUCCGCAAUGGACGAAAGUCUGACGGAGCGACGCCGCGUGGAUGAUGAAGGCCGGAAGGUUGUAAAAUCCUUUUAGAUAUGAGGAAUAAGCAGGGUGAGAGAAACGCCUUGUGGUGACUGUAGUAUCAGAAUAAGGGGCGGCUAAUUACGUGCCAGCAGCCGCGGUAACACGUAAGCCCCGAGCGUUGUUCGGAAUUAUUGGGCGUAAAGGGCAUGUAGGCGGCUUUGCAAGUCUGGUGUGAAAGGCAGGAGCUUAACUCCUGGACUGCGCUGGAAACUGCAUGGCUUGAGUCACUGAGGGGCAUCCGGAAUUCCUGGUGUAGGGGUGAAAUCUGUAGAUAUCAGGAAGAACACCGAUGGCGAAGGCAGGGUGCCAGCGGAUGACUGACGCUGAGGUGCGAAGGUGCGGGGAGCAAACAGGAUUAGAUACCCUGGUAGUCCGCACAGUCAACGAUGUACACUGGGUGUCCGUUCAUGAGAAUGGGUGCCGAAGCAAACGCGAUAAGUGUACCGCCUGGGGAGUAUGCCCGCAAGGGUGAAACUCAGAGGAAUUGACGG